UAACAAGGUUUCCGUAAGGUGAACCUGCGGAAGGAUCAUUGUCGAGACCCGAAGAAUAUAUCGAGCGAUUUGAAGAACCCGUUAAAUGUGCAAAUGGUCGUCCCGUUCGUCCCUGAGGCUCCUCGAGGUGAAGGGGCGCGGGGUGGGACUUAUGAACAACAAACCGGCGCAGCAACGCGCCAAGGGAAGAUUGAAAUGCGCGAGCCUUGAGUGGGGCUCGGUGAUGUGGAGUGCUGGUGCAUGACUCUCGACAAUGGAUAUCUUGGCUCUUGCAUCGAUGAAGAGCGCAGCGAAAUGCGAUACGUGGUGCGAAUUGCAGAAUCCCGUGAACCAUCGAGUCUUUGAACGCAAGUUGCGCCCGAGGCCAGCCGGCCAAGGGCACGUCCGCCUGGGCGUCAAGCGUUGCGUCGCUCCGUGCUAGCCGUCUUGCCUAAGGGCAUGCUGGGUGAGGCCCGGAUGUGUAGGGUGGCUCGUCGUGCCCGUUGGUGCGGCGGGCUGAAGAGCAGGUUUUGUCUCAAUGGCCGCGAACAAUAAGGGGUGGGUGCAAACUAUGAGCGCAGCCUGUGUUGUCUCGUGCUGGCGCGAGAGAUGGAUUGUGCCUUUGAUGUGAUCCCCGAUCAUGCCACGGCUUGGAAUGCGACCCCAGGAUGGGCGAGGCCACCCGCCGAGUUUAAGCAU
rnacentral:rRNA from 1 species